GUGGGGAAUUUUGGACAAUGGGCGCAAGCCUGAUCCAGCAAUGCCGCGUGUGUGAAGAAGGCCUUCGGGUUGUAAAGCACUUUUGUCCGGAAAGAAAUGGCCUGGGUUAAUACCCCGGGUCGAUGACGGUACCGGAAGAAUAAGCACCGGCUAACUACGUGCCAGCAGCCGCGGUAAUACGUAGGGUGCGAGCGUUAAUCGGAAUUACUGGGCGUAAAGCGUGCGCAGGCGGCGAUGCAAGACAGAUGUGAAAUCCCCGGGCUCAACCUGGGGACUGCAUUUGUGACUGCAUGGCUAGAGUGCGUCAGAGGGGGGUGGAAUUCCGCGUGUAGCAGUGAAAUGCGUAGAGAUGCGGAGGAACACCGAUGGCGAAGGCAGCCCCCUGGGAUGACACUGACGCUCAUGCACGAAAGCGUGGGGAGCAAACAGGAUUAGAUACCCGAGUAGUCC
rnacentral:rRNA from 1 species